AGAAAGAGGAAAAGACAUAGCCGCUCUUUUUACGGGGCCCUGCUCCAAAAAAGACGACGUCGUCGCUUCUCCUUGUGCUGCUCUUAGCUCCCUCUGCUGCUGCUGCUGCAUCGACGAGAAGAGUGAGCACAUACACACACACACACACAC
ensembl:ncRNA Y67D8C.16 ncRNA